rnacentral:lncRNA from 10 species
CUACAAGAUGGUGCUGAUCUGAUGCACAGAGAAGGGGAGGGGAGAUGAAGGCCUGGAGGAUGAUGGGCUGAACUUGGGCUGGCAUCAAAUCUUUGAAACCUGAGGGGGCCAGAGACCUGGAAGGAUGUGCUGUGUGUCUUCUUAGGAUAAACAUCUUUUGGCAACUUGUAAGGUUUCUUUUCUGGGAGCUGCUAUCACUGAAUACAUAAAGAAAUUGAGCCUAUAUGAUUUCAAUCUUCACCUUCUGAUGCUGAUGAAACAGGAUUCUAUGCAGUUUUCCACAGGGAGAAGCAGCAGGCUGAAGUGGCUCUUUAGGGAGACACAUACCUCCACAGGAAGAGCAGUCUAGAUUGUUUUAGCACAUUCCACUUAAGGAUUGCAGUGUGACAGCAGAGAAAAUCCUCUCCAGUCAAGUAAUUGCAUCCAUUUCAUCUUCCCAGCCCUCCUCUAGAUGGGAGGUGGAGGACAGUGGGGACCCCAGCCAGAGCCUGGGGACUUGGCUGCCUUGGAACCAGAACCUGGCCCCUCAGAGGAGUUGCAGAAUUUCGAUAGAGGAGUGGCAGGAGGUGUACUGGCUGAAGAGGAGGCCCAAGGGAAGAGAACGUUGCCCUCAUUGGUCUGGAAUCAGCAGGUACCUCAUGGCUGGAGGUGUAUUUUCAGACUCCUUUGGCAUCUGGUGAGGCCUGUGGAUUCAUUCUCAGAAUCACAUUUUUAAAUGCACAUAAUAAAAUACAUAGAAUUGCAAAGGAAGUUAAUUAUAUUGAAAUACAGUUAUCAAAAAUAUAAAUAAAACAAGUAUGUGGUACAGUCAUAUGUGUGCUUCUUUAUUAAGUCAUUACAAAGCAAGAUCUAUUUGGAGGUCUAAUAACUGUCAUAUGCUUGAAAAAAUCCUUAACAAUCAUAAUAUAUUAAAAAAUCUGAUUUCUACUUUGGCAAAUCAUAGAUAUUGCUGAAACUGUGGUUUAUUGCCUGCAUUCAUAAUUGAAGGAAAUGCUAGAGUUCAGUGAGAAGGUUGUGAAAAUAAAGAGAGCCUUUUUUUCUCAUCAAG